AUUUAUAUCCUUUUCUCGUUACUUGGAACAAGUAACUUUAGUGUUUGAUCCUGGCUCAGAUUGAACGCUGGCGGCAGGCUUAACACAUGCAAGUCGAGCGGGGGAAAGUAGCUUGCUACUGGACCUAGCGGCGGACGGGUGAGUAAUGCUUAGGAAUCUGCCUAUUAGUGGGGGACAACAUUCCGAAAGGAAUGCUAAUACCGCAUACGUCCUACGGGAGAAAGCAGGGGACCUUCGGGCCUUGCGCUAAUAGAUGAGCCUAAGUCGGAUUAGCUAGUUGGUGGGGUAAAGGCCUACCAAGGCGACGAUCUGUAGCGGGUCUGAGAGGAUGAUCCGCCACACUGGGACUGAGACACGGCCCAGACUCCUACGGGAGGCAGCAGUGGGGAAUAUUGGACAAUGGGGGGAACCCUGAUCCAGCCAUGCCGCGUGUGUGAAGAAGGCCUUAUGGUUGUAAAGCACUUUAAGCGAGGAGGAGGCUACUAGUAUUAAUACUACUGGAUAGUGGACGUUACUCGCAGAAUAAGCACCGGCUAACUCUGUGCCAGCAGCCGCGGUAAUACAGAGGGUGCGAGCGUUAAUCGGAUUUACUGGGCGUAAAGCGUGCGUAGGCGGCCAUUUAAGUCAAAUGUGAAAUCCCCGAGCUUAACUUGGGAAUUGCAUUCGAUACUGGAUGGCUAGAGUAUGGGAGAGGAUGGUAGAAUUCCAGGUGUAGCGGUGAAAUGCGUAGAGAUCUGGAGGAAUACCGAUGGCGAAGGCAGCCAUCUGGCCUAAUACUGACGCUGAGGUACGAAAGCAUGGGGAGCAAACAGGAUUAGAUACCCUGGUAGUCCAUGCCGUAAACGAUGUCUACUAGCCGUUGGGGCCUUUGAGGCUUUAGUGGCGCAGCUAACGCGAUAAGUAGACCGCCUGGAGACCCCC
rnacentral:rRNA from 1 species